GAGUUUGAUCCUGGCUCAGAACGUACGCUGGCGGCACGCCUAAUACAUGCAAGUCGAACGAAGUAGCAAUACUUAGUGGCAGACGGGUGAGUAACAUGUGGGUAUCUUCCCUUUGGUGAGGAAUAACACGAGGAAACUUGUGCUAAUACCUCAUAAGUCUUUACGGAGAAAGCUUUAUGCGCCAAUGGAUGAGCCCGCACUUGAUUAGUUUGUUGGUAGGGUAAUGGCCUACCAAGACUGUGAUCAAUAGCUGAUUUGAGAGGAUGAUCAGCCACAUUGGGACUGAGACACGGCCCAAACUCCUACGGGAGGCAGCAGUAGGGAAUCUUGCACAAUGGAGGAAACUCUGAUGCAGCGAUGCCGCGUGAGUGAAGAAGGCCCUUGGGUUGUAAAGCUCUUUCGUCGGGGAAGAAAAUGACUGUACCCGAAUAAGAAGGUCCGGCUAACUUCGUGCCAGCAGCCGCGGUAAUACGAAGGGACCUAGCGUAGUUCGGAAUUACUGGGCUUAAAGAGUUCGUAGGUGGUUAAAAAAGUUGGUGGUGAAAGCCCAGAGCUUAACUCUGGAAUGG
rnacentral:rRNA from 1 species